ensembl:lncRNA
GGCUCCUCCUCCUCCCACCCCGGAUCCCUCGCGCCGCCCGAAGCCCCCGAAGCGCCCGCGCCGCCGCCGGGAUCCCAAUGAGCCUCAGAAGCCUCUGUCGGCCUACGCUCUCUUCUUCCGCGACACGCAGGCGGCCAUCAAAGGGCAAAACCCCAGCGCCACCUUCGGGGAGGUCUCCAAGAUCGUGGCCUCCAUGUGGGACAGCCUCGGGGAGGAGCAGAAGCAGGUCUACAAAAGGAAGACGGAGGCAGCCAAGAAGGAAUACCUGAAAGCAUUGGAUGCCUAUAGGGCCAUCCAGGUGACCCCCAACAUCUCCCCACAUUUUUUCCCCCAUUUUCCCCAAUUUCCCCCAUUUUCCCCAAUUUUUCCCCAUUUCUCGGGCAAUUUUCCCCAUUUUUCCCCAUUUCUGCGUCGGUUUUUCCAACUUUUCCCCACUUUCCCCAUUUGUUGGGCAGUUUUCCCCCAUUCACCCCAAUUUUCCCCACAUUUCCCCAUUUCUCAGUCAAUUUCCCCCAAUUUUUUCCCAUUUUUUCCCCAAUUUCUGUCAAUUUUCCCCAUUUUUCUCCAUUUUUUCCCCAUUUUUCCUAAUUUCUUGGUCAAUUUUUCCCAUUUUUUCCCCAUUUUCUGCCCAUUUUUCCUCUUUUUUCCCCCCAUGUCCCCCAUUUUUCCCAAUUUUUCCCCAUUUCUAGCUCAAUUUUUCCCAUUUUCCCCAUUUUCUGCCCAUUUUUCCCCCUAUGUCCCCCAUUUUCCCAAAUUUUUCCCAAUUUUUCCACAUUUCUGAGUCAAUUUUCCCAAUUUUCUGCCAUUUCCUGUCAAUUUUCCCCAACUUUUCCCCACUUUCCCCAUUUGUUGGGCAGUUUUCCCCCAUUCACCCCAAUUUUCCCCACUUUUCCCCAUUUCUCAGUUAAUUUCCCCCAAUUUUUUCCUAUUUUUUCCCCAAUUUCUGUCAAUUUUCCCCAUUUUUCCCCACUUUCCCCAUUUUUCCUUAUUUCUUGGUCAAUUUUUCCCAUUUUUUCCCCUUUUUCUGCCCAUUUUUCCUCUUUUUUCCCCCCAUGUCCCCCAUUUUUCCCAAUUUUUCCCCAUUUCUAGGUCAAUUUUUCCCAUUUUCCCCAUUUUCUGCCCAUUUUUCCUCUUUUUUUUUCCCCAUUUUCCCACUUUUCCCAAAUUUUUCCCAAUUUUUCCACAUUUCUGAGUCAAUUUUCCCAAUUUUCCCUCAUUUCCUGUCAAUUUUCCUUAACUUCUCCCCACUUUCUCCAUUUAUUGGGUAGUUUUCCCCCAUUUACCCCAAUUUUCCCCAUUUCUCAGUCAAUUUCCCCCAAUUUUUUCCCAUUUUUUCCCCAAUUUCUGUCAAUUUUCCCCAUGUUUCCCCAUGUUUCCUGUUUUUCCUUAUUUUUUGGUCCAUUUUUCCCAUUUUUUCCCCUUUUUCUGCCCAUUUUUCCUCUUUUUUCCCCCCAUGUCCCCCAUUUUUCCCAAUUUUUCCCCAUUUCUAGGUCAAUUUUUCCCAUUUUCCCCAUUUUCUGCCCAUUUUUCCUCUUUUUUUUUCCCCAUUUUUCCCCAUUUUCCCACUUUUCCCAAAUUUUUCCCAAUUUUCCCCAUUUCUGAGUCAAUUUUCCCAAUUUUCUGCCAUUUCCUGUCAAUUUUCCCCAACUUUUCCCCACUUUCCCCAUUUGUUGGGCAGUUUUCCCCCAUUCACCCCAAUUUUCCCCACUUUUCCCCAUUUCUCAGUCAAUUUCCCCCAAUUUUUUCCCAUUUUUUCCCC